GACAGAGGUGCCAAGCGUUAUGCGGAAUCACUGGGCUUAAAGCGUGUGUAGGUGGAUGCCUAAGUGCCUUGUGAAAUCCCACGGCUCAACCGUGGAAUUGCUGGGCAUACUGGGUGUCUUGAGCCAUCCAGGGGUCGCUGGAACAAACGGUGGAGCGGUGAAAUGCGUAGAUAUCGUUUGGAACGCCAAUGGUGAAAACAGGCGACUGGGGAUGAGCUGACACUGAGACACGAAAGCCAGGGGAGCAAACGGG
rnacentral:rRNA from 1 species